UGGGGANAAGCCAAGCUUUCUCAAAGCUCU
rnacentral:piRNA from 1 species